GACGAACGCUGGCGGCGUGCCUAAUACAUGCAAGUAGAACGCUGAAGGAGGAGCUUGCUUCUCCGGAUGAGUUGCGAACGGGUGAGUAACGCGUAGGUAACCUGCCUGGUAGCGGGGGAUAACUAUUGGAAACGAUAGCUAAUACCGCAUAACAGUAGAUAUUGCAUGAUAUCUGCUUGAAAGGUGCAAUUGCAUCACUACCAGAUGGACCUGCGUUGUAUUAGCUAGUUGGUGAGGUAACGGCUCACCAAGGCGACGAUACAUAGCCGACCUGAGAGGGUGAUCGGCCACACUGGGACUGAGACACGGCCCAGACUCCUACGGGAGGCAGCAGUAGGGAAUCUUCGGCAAUGGACGGAAGUCUGACCGAGCAACGCCGCGUGAGUGAAGAAGGGUUUCGGAUCGUAAAGCUCUGUUGUAAGAGAAGAACGAGUGUGAGAGUGGAAAGUUCACACUGUGACGGUAUCUUACCAGAAAGAGACGGCUAACUACGUG
rnacentral:rRNA from 1 species